CCCCAAAAGUCUUAUUUUUCAGGGCAGAGAUCUGAAUCUGUCUCUUAGCACAUGAAUAUCUCCGGACUAGAGCAAAAACAUCACGGAGGGAGCAGUGCCUGCCUCCAGGAUCUGGCCCCGGUUAUUCCUAAGGCUCUGCAGAAGUGACACGGCAGAGCUGCUCUAGCAAGGUUCUGUGGGGGUGCCUGAGUGGGAGUCUCGGCAGCCUGGCUUCUAAAACCCCUAGAUGCCUGGAGAGUCACCAAACUUCUGGGGGCUUGAACCUUCUUGCAAAUUGGCAGCUUGUGAGGCUUAAACGAGCAGUUAUGGAGUUCUCUCUCCUUGCCCGCCCUCCCUUCCAGCACUAAGGCUCGAACCUGUGGCCUCAAACAUGCUAGGAACCCAUUCUACCACUGCAGUACAUGCUCAGCAUCACCCCACACCCCCGCGCCGCCCCCAAAUCAUUUUUAUUUUGAGACAGUUUCACUAAGUUGCCCAAGCCUUGAACUCACUCUGUAACCCAAGCAGUCCUGAAACUUGAGUUCCUUCCGUCUUGCUCCGCCCCCUCCCCCAGCAACUGGGAUUGCAGGGCUGCGCCACCAGGCGGUGGGAAGGGGUUCUGCAUCUUUAAGGAGUCAAGGAUGCUGAAACUGUGGAGCCGCGACAAUCCAGUGCUCAGUAACAGCACAGGCGCAGAGUGCUGGAAUUUCAAACCACGCCCACAUCUUUUCUCUUCCAUUCUUCGAGAAGACAAGUUUGCCGCUUUACAUGUUCCUUGUUUGAAAUUAUUGCUGCCAUCACCGACAUCCUAGAUUGCUCAGUCUCCUUCCAAGCGCCCUGCAGCUCCAAGCCGCUCCCUGGCACCUGGAUGAAGGCGGAGCCCCGACUCCCCAGUCUCUGUGGCUCCUGGGGCUCCAGUGGCCCUGGCUCGGAUCCUGCUGCUGCGGGGCACUUCUCUCCGUGGGGUCCAACCCUGGCCUGGCCGCCUAGUCCUGGCUGGCCUCGUGCUUUUGUGUUUAAACAAGGCAGACCCUGUGUUGUCCACUCAAACUUUUAAGGAAUACAGGACCUGGUGACCCCGGGAAGGAGGAAAAGGGCAUCUAUCAUUUUUAUGUGGCAUUUCAAAGGAGGAGACUCCUUGUUGGCUGGGAGACAAAGGCCCUGGCGGGGUUAAUGGAGGAAUCCCAUUUAAUCAUUAACGCUUAGUACUAACCGAGCCUAAAAGGGGAUGGAGGGCCCUGGGAUAGCUCUUGCUCAGCUUUAGGGGGAUGGAGACGCCAGGGGGGUCUGGUGGGAUCAGGUCAGGUGGUGGCCCUGGGGUUGGGACCCAGGCCCUUUCUGCUGAAGCUAGGGUGGGACCUUGAGGAUGGGGGUGGUGACCUAGCCCUUCCCAAUCACUCCCUUUGACCUGGGAUGAUGUCAGCACCUAUUCAUUUUCUAAGCCAGAGAGUUGACAUCCCAAAGCCCUGCACAGCCUGAUGGUGUGGUGGGAAUUCAGGGGUGCAAAGCCCCCAAAGCCAGCUUCUCUGCUGUGCUGCAGCCACUGUGAUGGGCCUGCCACCUCAUAUCUCCAGUAGUGAGCUGUUCAGCUCCACUGGUCACCAAGGCCACCCAGCCACCUCCUCCCAUCCCACACAAAGCGUCCCCAACUCUCCACCUGUGCCUCAUUUUAAUCAUUUACCUGCUGCUGGGAGAAGGUGCCUCCUGCAUUGUUUUCCCAAGUGCUGGGACAAAGAGAACCUGAGACCUGAAGAAAGCCACUUCCUCACCAGCCAUCUGAUGAGGAGGAGCUGAGGGCCAGGCAGGCAGCCUUGAAGCCCUGGGCGUAUCUAGCCACCCUCUUCUCAUCUGGGCAGCAGGCUUAGGUCCUAAAAAAGGGAUUCUGGGUGGAACUGUAUAGCAUUGUAAUGUCUGCUGCGUUUCCACUUACUUUAAUUUUUAAUGUUUUGUGUGUUGUUUAUUGCAGUUUACACCAUAGUUACUGCUGACUGGAUAUUAAAUUGAAUGACCUUUUCACAAACUGAGCAACCUGGGAAACUCACAUUCUGAUCCAGUGGCAGAAUUUAACCAUUUUCAAUGUAGAAGAGAGCUCUCUGUCCCCACCUAGUCACUGUCUCCACUCUCCAGGGACUGCCCUCCCCCCUCACUUUAAGCAGCAGGGGCUAGCUGUACCUUAUCAAUGCAUCACUUGUUUCAAUAGAAUUAUGGGGCACCAGCUUCCUCCCCUCACCUGACCUUGGGUGAUUCACCCAUCCAUGUGACUGUGCGGUUGGGGAUUAAUUGUACUCCUUGCUGUGGAAUGCUCAGUGUAUUUAUAUUUGAGUUCACAAUCUAUAUAGAAUACCCCUAUCUUUAUCAAUGCUUUUUUCAAAUGAUUAAAUAAAAACAUAAAUGGC